rnacentral:lncRNA from 1 species
GCACCGGCGAUCCGGAAGUGGCGCUGCAGGGACACGGCGAUGGCCGGGACGUGACCCAAUACUGCCCAAGAGGCUUAGUAGUCGGAGGCGGCAGGAACGCAGGGUGCCGUGGAGGCGGGAGAAGUAGCCUUCGUUCUUCAAGCCCAGAAAAUUGAGAAACGGUUGUUUUCCGUGGCUACUGGAAGAACUGGAAAGAGGAACUGGGAUUCGGUAGGGUGGAGGUCAAAGACAGCACCCCAUUCAGAAGAUGGAGCCUGAUUCUUAUGCCUGGAUGUAUUGGAGGUAUUUAGUGACUCACUUCUGAAAAAUACACUGUGGCAGAAAUGACAGUGUGUGACUUCUUCAAGUAAGAUGUAAGAGGGACUGUUGAUAUGGUAGGAUUUGCUCUGAAGGAAGCCAGCUGCCGAAUGUGAUACUCAGGCUACACAGUGGGCAAGGCCCCGUGAUGAGAAACAGCUUCUGUGCUUGAUUGAGAUUUCGUUCUUCAGAUGCUGAACCUCUAGCUGUGCUUGGCCACCUCGGGAAAAAACUCUGAGCCAGAACCUCCUCUUUAUCACAGCCAGGGAAAGUGCCCCUGAAUUUGAGAACUCCAUUAGAAACUAUGAGCUUUCAAAGUGGUCCAAGCAGAUGUCAGUGAAGAUGGCCACAAGUAAGAUGCUGAUGAUGCUAAACUGACAAAGCAGUCCUGCAGCUAGAAACAUCUCUUCCACAGCGAACCAUGGAAAUCUUUUCCAGCUACAAGUACUUGCUCCCCUCCCCCAACUCCUAUGCCACUUUUGAAUUCUGUGUGGCAUCCUUAACUUUUAUCAAGACGAUGUUUCUGGCACUAAGAUCCCGUUUGUCUUCUCAUG